rnacentral:tRNA from 1 species
GCGGAUGUGGUGUAAUUGGUAGCCACGCCAGACUUAGGAUCUGGUGCCUUGAUCGGCGUGGGGGUUCGAGUCCCUUCAUCCGCA